rnacentral:rRNA from 1 species
GAUGAACGCUGGCGGCGUGCUUAACACAUGCAAGUCGAACGGAAAGGCCUCAGCUUGCUGGGGUACUCGAGUGGCGAACGGGUGAGUAACACGUGGGUGAUCUGCCCUGCACUUUGGGAUAAGCUUGGGAAACUGGGUCUAAUACCGAAUAUGACCACUUCUUGGAUGUUGUGGUGGAAAGCUUUUGCGGUGUGGGAUGAGCCUGCGGCCUAUCAGCUUGAUGGUGGGGUAAUGGCCUACCAAGGCGGCGACGGGUAUCCGGCCUGAGAGGGUGUACGGAAACAUUGGGACUGAGCUACGGCCCAGACUCCUACGGGAGGCAGCAGUGGGGAAUAUUGCACAAUGGGCGCAAGCCUGAUGCAGCGACGCCGCGUGGGGGAUGAAGGCCUUCGGGUUGUAAACUCCUUUCGCUAUCGACGAAGCCACUUGUGGUGACGGUAGGUAGAUAAGAAGCACCGGCUAACUACGUGCCAGCCGCCGCAGUAA